UAAUACCAUCAUCAUCAUCAAUUGCUAGGAUCACAGUCUCUGUCAACUUAGUUUCACAUCGUCUGGAGGCUGACAGCCAUCGACACCGUAACUGGAAAUGGAGCCGAGAAUAACCUAUCAUCUUAGGAACUUUUUUACUAUUGAGACAUCACUGGGGAACUGCCCAUCCCAAGCAGUUCAUAUGGAGAAUGUUAAAAGCUCUGAAUUUUGGACAGUUAAAUUUGACAAAGUACUCUGGACACUUGUAAGUAAAUCCUCGCCUUUGUGAAUAUUAAUGAUACAUUUCAGCUCCUACGUAUCAUUAUAUUCCUAUUAUACACACACAAAUCUCGGGAGUAGAGCAAAGCAAAUGUAGAAAUUAUAUGAACUCAUGAAUGUUCAAAGUAGUAUGAGGAUUUUUUUUUU
rnacentral:lncRNA from 1 species